UAGGGAAUCUUCGGCAAUGGACGAAAGUCUGACCGAGCAACGCCGCGUGAGUGAAGAAGGUUUUCUGAUCGUAAAACUCUGUUGUUAGAGAAGAACAAGGACGUCAGUAACUGAACGUCCCCUGACGGUAUCUAACCAGAAAGCCACGGCUAACUACGUGCCAGCAGCCGCGGUAAUACGUAGGUGGCAAGCGUUGUCCGGAUUUAUUGGGCGUAAAGCGAGCGCAGGCGGUUUCUUAAGUCUGAUGUGAAAGCCCCCGGCUCAACCGGGGAGGGUCAUUAGAAACUGGGAGACUUGAGUGCAGAAGAGGAGAGUGGAAUUCCAUGUGGAGCGGUGAAAUGCGUAGAUAUGUGGAGGAACACCAGUGGCGAAGGCGGCUCUCUGGUCUGUAACAGACGCUGAGGCUCGAAAGCGUGGGGAGCAAACAGG
rnacentral:rRNA from 1 species